rnacentral:rRNA from 1 species
GCAGUCGAACGGUGAACUCCGCUUGCGGGGGGAUCAGUGGCGAACGGGUGAGUAACACGUGGGCAACCUGCCCUCAGCUCUGGGAUAACUCCAAGAAAUUGGGGCUAAUACCGGAUAUGACCGCUGACCGCAUGGUCUGGUGGUGGAAAGAUUUAUCGGCUGGGGAUGGGCCCGCGGCCUAUCAGCUUGUUGGUGGGGUAGUGGCCUACCAAGGCGACGACGGGUAGCCGGCCUGAGAGGGUGACCGGCCACACUGGGACUGAGACACGGCCCAGACUCCUACGGGAGGCAGCAGUGGGGAAUAUUGCGCAAUGGGCGAAAGCCUGACGCAGCGACGCCGCGUGGGGGAUGACGGCCUUCGGGUUGUAAACCUCUUUCAGCAGGGACGAAGCGAAAGUGACGGUACCUGCAGAAGAAGCACCGGCCAACUACGUGCCAGCAGCCGCGGUAAUACGUAGGGUGCAAGCGUUGUCCGGAAUUAUUGGGCGUAAAGAGCUCGUAGGCGGUUUGUUGCGUCGGCUGUGAAAACCUGAGGCUCAACCUCAGGCCUGCAGUCGAUACGAGCAGACUAGAGUGUUGCAGGGGAGACUGGAAUUCCUGGUGUAGCGGUGAAAUGCGCAGAUAUCAGGAGGAACACCGGUGGCGAAGGCGGGUCU